rnacentral:lncRNA from 1 species
UCACAGACAGACAUGACAGUACACGUCAAAAAAGUUUAACAGCGGAGAUCGGAUAGCAAGUUAACUGUUUUUAACUGAAGUUUUGAUGUACCUUGCCAACUAGGUCCUUGUGACAAUAGAAAUGAAAUGAUCUAAUCCAAAAAUCCAAGCUCACAACCCAUGUCUUCUGAAGAAAAAUCAUUUCUGUUGCAGAUUUUGCAUUUAGACCGAAUGAGAACCUUUUUGUUGCCCAUCCAAGGAUAAGGAAAAGGCCAACACCACCAACACGGUCAACAAGGUUUAGCGUUUAUGUUCGCGUAGUUGCUGUCCGCGCGAUGUGGCACGUUGUUGCAGCCUAUGCUGGUGUCUGGUGAAAGAUCUUUCUGCAUCAAGUUCAACUGGUUGUUCCUUGGUGGUGAUUUUGUGUUACCAAAAUUGCAUCAUCAAUCAUCAUAUUGUUAAAUUGUCAUUGUGUCUGCAGUUAUCGUUCAGGAGUUAAGAAGGAACAAAAACAAAUGGGAUGUUUAUGUCAAACAAAUAAUAAACAUGUUUUCGGGAUUGGGAAAGGAAAGUGGAGGAUGUUGGAGGGAGGGGGC